CUGGGGAUCUUGUUAAACUGCAGAUUCCGAUUCAUUGGGUCAGUAGUGAAGACUGAGAGUUUACAUUUCUCACAUCCCUGGAGAGCUGCUGCUGGUCUAUACAGGGCUCAUCAGAAUGUCCUGGGGAUUUUUUCCGGAGCUGGCAAGUGAGAUGCUUUUGCAAGUGAGGCCACUUCAUCUGAGUUUCAGGAGCUCAAGGGAAUUGGGAGUAUUAGUGGCUACUGAUGAAGAAGAGAAAAACUGCAGGUUAUCAUCAUUCACCCAAUUCUCUAGAAAAAAGAAAUCAAGAGAAGAUGCAAGAUAUAAAAAGACCAAAUCAUCCUCUGUUCUUUCCUUCUAAUAGCCCACCAGACUGAGAGGUAUAGCUGAGUAGAACUACAUGUAACACUGUUUUUAACAUUUCACCAUAAAUGCUCCAAACUCUGGGUCCCUCCUGCUUUGUCACCAUUUCCUAGCCAACUGAAAUGAAUUUAGCAGAGUGCACUUUUGUUUAUAUGUUUGAAAUAUUAAAAAUUAAAGUUACUUGCUUUCUUAAAAAAAA